rnacentral:misc_RNA from 1 species
GCGGUCGGUCAGCGGGGCGUUCUCCCACCUGUAGCGACUCAGAGCCUCCAAGCUCAUGGCCUCCUUAGGAGCGAACCCAAGGAGGACACCGCAGGGACCGAGACCUGGGGCGGCCUCCUCCGGCUUCCCCAGCCCGGCCCCAGUGCCGGGCCCCAGGGAGGCCGAGGAGGAGGAAGUCGAGGAGGAGGAGGAGCUGGCCGAGAUCCAUCUGUGUGUGCUGUGGAAUUCAGGAUACUUGGGCAUUGCCUACUAUGAUACUAGUGACUCCACUAUCCACUUCAUGCCAGAUGCCCCAGACCACGAGAGCCUCAAGCUUCUCCAGAGAGUUCUGGAUGAGAUCAAUCCCCAGUCUGUUGUUACGAGUGCCAAACAGGAUGAGAAUAUGACUCGAUUUCUGGGAAAGCUUGCCUCCCAGGAGCACAGAGAGCCUAAAAGACCUGAAAUCAUAUUUUUGCCAAGUGUGGAUUUUGGUCUGGAGAUAAGCAAACAACGCCUCCUUUCUGGAAACUACUCCUUCAUCCCAGACGCCAUGACUGCCACUGAGAAAAUCCUCUUCCUCUCUUCCAUUAUUCCCUUUGACUGCCUCCUCACAAUCCCCUCCCAGGUUCGAGCACUUGGAGGGCUGCUGAAGUUCCUGGGUCGAAGAAGAAUCGGGGUUGAACUGGAAGACUAUAAUGUCAGCGUCCCCAUCCUGGGCUUUAAGAAAUUUAUGUUGACUCAUCUGGUGAACAUAGAUCAAGACACUUACAGGAAUCCUCAACAGAUGCCACUGUAAGUGGGGAGAGAAGCUGCUCAGGCUAUGGUUCACACGUCCGACUCAUGACCUGGGGGAGCUCAGUUCUCGUCUGGACGUCAUUCAGUUUUUUCUGCUGCCCCAGAAUCUGGACAUGGCUCAGAUGCUGCAUCGGCUCCUGGGUCACAUCAAGAACGUGCCUCUGAUUCUGAAACGCAUGAAGUUGUCCCACACCAAGGUCAGCGACUGGCAGGUUCUCUACAAGACUGUGUACAGUGCCCUGGGCCUGAGGGAUGCCUGCCGCUCCCUGCCGCAGUCCAUCCAGCUCUUUCGGGACAUUGCCCAAGAGUUCUCUGAUGACCUGCACCAUAUCGCCAGCCUCAUUGGGAAAGUAGUGGACUUUGAGGGCAGCCUUGCUGAAAAUCGCUUCACAGUCCUCCCCAACAUAGAUCCUG